GUUACUGGUGCUGGCUUCAAACUUGUGAUCCUCCUGCCUCAGCAUCCCAAGUUGCCAGGAUUACAGGCAUAUACCACUGCACCCAGCAAUGCCAGAUCAUUUGAAAAAGGAGUUUCCUGAAGCAGGAGACCUCUGCUAUAUUCCUUGUCCUCUUCCUUGAAAGAAGCCCAUUAUUUCAAGAUCAGUAGUUUGGGAGGCUGAGAAGUCCAAGAGCAUCGUGCCAGCCCCUCCUUGCUUCUGGUGAGGCCUUGGUGCUGCAUCCUAACAGGGUGAAAAAACAGAAGGGCCAGUGAGAGUGUGUGGAUAAAGCAAAACAGGAGGGGCACUGACCUCUGAAACAACAAGGCCUUCUGUCUUCUAGAGUUUCACUUUCUGGAUUUUACUUGUGGUGGUGUUUUCAGUGAAGUUUUGAAGAAGGAUAAAAAAAACCCUGGAACUUGAGCUGGAGCCCCUGGGCUGUCCCAAGGCACAGACCUACUGCCUAGAGGGUGUGAGGGAGGAAGGAAACUCAAAAAAGAAGGUUCGCUGGUUGUUGU